rnacentral:rRNA from 1 species
UACGUAGGUGGCAAGCGUUGUCCGGAUUUACUGGGCGUAAAGAGCGCGCAGGCGGUCGAUCAAGUCGCGUGUGAAAGCCCCCGGCUCAACUGGGGAGGGUCACGCGAUACUGAUCGACUCGAAGGCAGGAGAGGGUAGUGGAAUUCCCGGUGUAGUGGUGAAAUGCGUAGAUAUAGGAAGGAACACCAGUGGCGAAGGCGACCACCUGGACUGAUACUGACACUGAGGUGCGAAAGCGUGGGGAGCAAACAGG